GAAAUGCGAUAACUAAUGUGAAUUGCAGAAUUCAGUGAAUCAUCGAAUCUUUGAACGCACAUUGCGCCCGCCAGUAUUCUCGCGGGCAUGCCUGUUCGAGCGUCAUUUCAACCAUCAAGCCCCCGGGCCUGUGUUGGGGACCUGCGGCCGCCGCAGGCCCCGAAAAGCAGUGGCGGGCUCGCUGUCCCCCCGAGCGUAGUAGUAAUCCCCUCGCUUAGGGCGUGCUGUGGGCGGCGGCCGUUAAAAACCAAUAUACCCCCCAAAGGUUGACCUCGGAUCAGAUAGGAAUACCCGCUGAACUUAA
rnacentral:misc_RNA from 1 species